UACGGAGGGUGCGAGCGUUAUCCGGAUUCACUGGGUUUAAAGGGUGCGUAGGUGGGCAGGUAAGUCAGUGGUGAAAUCUCCGGGCUUAACCCGGAAACUGCCAUUGAUACUAUCAGUCUUGAAUACCGUGGAGGUGAGCGGAAUAUGUCAUGUAGCGGUGAAAUGCUUAGAUAUGACAUAGAACACCAAUUGCGAAGGCAGCUCACUACACGAAUAUUGACACUGAGGCACGAAAGCGUGGGGAUCAAACAGG
rnacentral:rRNA from 1 species